rnacentral:rRNA from 1 species
UACGUAGGGUGCGAGCGUUGUCCGGAAUUAUUGGGCGUAAAGGGCUCGUAGGCGGUCUGUCACGUCGGGAGUGAAAACUCAGGGCUUAACCCUGAGCCUGCUUCCGAUACGGGCAGACUAGAGGUAUGCAGGGGAGAACGGAGUUCCUGGUGUAGCGGUGAAAUGCGCAGAUAUCAGGAGGAACACCGGUGGCGAAGGCGGUUCUCUGGGCAUUACCUGACGCUGAGGAGCGAAAGUGUGGGGAGCGAACAGG